rnacentral:lncRNA from 14 species
CCCUACCCACCCCAGGGCUACUUAAGCCCUGAGCAGCCUCAGCUGAGUUUUCUCUCUGGGCUUUGCUCCUUUUGCUACCUCUGCCUUAAGCCAGGCCAGUGGCUGCUCUCCUCCUGUGCCAAGGCUCUUCUGCUUCAUCCCAGGCAAGAUGUGGGUGAGAAAAGGGCUGGAAGGAUCCAGGAUGGUGCAGCACAACCUGAAGGAAAAGCAGCAUCUGGGGCUCAGCGCCUUGAGAAGGUGCCACUGGGAAAAGCUUUUCCCUGCUCUCCAGUGCUCAAUACGAAGCUGUGAGCCCCAGAGGAGAAUGGGCUCCCCCCAAGAACCCCAGUGCAGCCUUGGCCCCCUCAAGACCUGCCUGGCUCUGUGCCUCAGUUUCCCUCUGCUGGGUCAAAGGGAAGCAGCUCCAAUGCCAUGCAUAGAGGUAAGAGCAUCAGUGCACAGCAUUGCUUCUCCCCACCAGCUCUUCUUGGGAACACCCCAGUUGCUGCUUAGAUUUCGCCCUCCAAAUAAGACAUUUCACUUUCUCUUUUCAACCUGAGCCCUUUGAAUCCACACCAGGGGACCCUCGGGUGCCUCCUUCCACACAACCCU